AAAGACGUAACAAUUGAAGGCUCUUUUUCAACGAGCUGCAUCGCGCACGCGAAAUUGAAGCACGACUGAAAGUUGUGUUAACUGAACGCGAAUUACAUGCUGUGCCAUAAAUAUAUUUUUUGUGCGAGUCAUGUCGAGGAAGCUAUGGAAAUUGUAUCGCAAAGUCAAUUUCCAGCGAGCAAAUGAAGAUUUUUUUUCUCUUAUUAUUAACUUUCGUUAGAAUACAGAGCAUGAAAUGCUUUGAAAUCGGUUGUCGACUAUUGCUAAUACUUUUGGAGAGAAAAAAAAGAAUGUCUUAUUAUUAAUUAUGACAAAUCUACGUUUGUAUUUCUUCCCUCGCAAUUAAUUGCUUAUUAAAGCUUGCAAUCGCGAUAGGUUAUUGUCACGGAAAGUGAUUUGUGUUCCUCGGUAACACGAGAUAAUUUAACGGUGUGUUAAAUUUGGGAAUUUCGCGAAUAUUUUCGACGCGCGCCUUAUCGAUUCCAACUCGCGCGACCUCAUAACGACGUAACUGUCGUGGCAGCAAUUAAAACAGAACAGUGUGCAGGAGUCUUUGUUCCGAGCGUUACAGAAAUUGUCGGAAAUUUCGCGCAAUUUUACUGAUGUAUAUUUUUUUGCGCGACUUUCUUUCUCUUUCUCUCCAUUCUUUUUUCUCUUCUCUGCCGUUACCCGAGCUUUUUCCUAGUGUUUUCUAUUUUUUUCCACUUUUAAUUACAUUUUCCGGCGCCAUUCCCGUCACUAUCCGAUUUUCCGCCCCAAGAAUUUCGCAAUAUUUCUUCAACGUAAUCGCAGUGAAAUAUAAUAGUCGUUUACUUUGGAAAAUUAAAAAAUCUUCUUGAGCAAAUGAUGCAUUUUUAUUGAUAAAGCAGUAUAAUUUAUGUAAUGGUUUUGCAAAUAUUCGGACAAAUAUGAGCAUUACAAAAACGAGUAUAUAAUUUCCUCAUUUUUCCUAAUUUUAUUUAUAAAUGUCACAGAGUGUAUAUUCAAAUAAUUAAAUUAAUUAUUAAUAUAAUUAGUAGAUCAAGAUUAAUUGUUGAUAUGUGAGUAUAAUUUUAUUCAUUUAUUAAAUUCAAUUAUAUUUUUAUGAAACCCUACUUUAUUUGUAUAUUAUUAAUAUAUAUUUUUAAUUAAUCGAUUAAGUAAGUCUUCUUUCGAAAAUAUCACAAACAGUCGACGUUUUAUGUUAUUGUAGUUCAAACAGCAAACAUGGCAGACAUCGAGACAUGUUACUAUUGAUAGAUAUGGCUAGACUAGACAUUCAACGUUUCUUGAAAAGACAAAGUUGCACUCUUUUGUUUCCGCGCGUUGAAUCAUUGAUGAUCCAACUAUAUCUUGAUGUAAAGUUGGUAUACCCUUCUUGCAUGUGUUGGAAGACUAUAAUGUCCCUAGCUAUAAAAUGCGACAUUUGCGUCGUCGAGUAGCGGAUGUGCUGCAAAUAGAUAUCGAGUGAUCUGGAUUUAGAUCUGUAACUAUUGCUACACCGAAUGUAUUGCGAUAAGAAUUACCAUGAUAAGAAGCGCGAUAAAGACCAAUGAAAAUCUGUCCUGUGUGCAAUAUUUUGGCGGAAACAUUACGGGUCUUCGUCAUCUACUCCAUUUUACAAUUUUUGUUUCUGCGAGAUAGUAUCUUCCUCCAGUAUUAUUAUAUUAUUUAUACAAUUAUUUUAUUAUUUUUGCAACAAUAAUUGAUAUAUAUCAAUCAUAUAUUCUAAUAGAUAUAACUGAUUUAGGACAUUUUUAUUCAUAAAAAUGUUAUAAAUUGGAGAAAGAGAGGUCUAUAAUAUUUUUCAUUUUAGUAUAAUAUAAUUAAUUAAAAAUGUCAAAUAAUUAUCAAAAGUAAAAGAUGUAUUUACUCUUGUGUUAUAAUAAAAAAUUUCCAUUCUAUAAUUUGUAUAUAACAUACUAAGAAAACACACACACACACACGCUAGAUAAGCGUGACGAUUUCCGGAUGUUAAUCGACCUACAGUUAAUCGACUUCUAGAUAAAGGGUGAUUAAAUCGCUAUAUUCUGGCCGUCAACUCUGUAAUCCGUGCAAAACUAUCACAACUUUCGCCAGGUCUCUCAAUCACGCUCUAAUCUCAGGCAUCUGUUGAAUCAAUCAGAGAGCGACUUCUGACCCUAGCUCCGAAUGAGUCCGGGAUCUCGUGACCACAAACGAGUUUUCUCGGUUUAGCUAGUCGCGAUGUGGGUGAACGGGAAAUCAGACUGUCGAAUGUAUGUACGAAAAAUCCUUGACGCCUGACAGCCACGCGAAUUCUCGCCGCGAGCUGAUUCCUAAUUCUCUUGCGUGGAGUCGUUUGUAUUCACGCGAGAUCGCGAGAUUCCAGAGAGCGAGAUUCCACGAAGGCGCACACGAGCGUGCGGCGAAAUCGCGAGGUUCCGCUCUUAUCGCACGUAGGCGGUAACACAUACCACGACGUAUAGAGCCGGUUUCACGAGGCCGUCAGUUCCUCAUUGUCUUCCGUCCGAUAGGUCAGAGUAUCGUUUGCUGUACGUUGCUUUCUCUCUCUCUCUCUCUCGUCGAUCUCGUCUAGAAGGCUCGAUCGUCAGUCACCGGAAAGUGCCGGAUAAUGUCGCACUGUCGAUAGAUCGUUCCGUGUCAUUUGGAAAAUCAUGGCUUUUUCUUGCGAGGGACGAGACCCCUUGGAGCAUACCAGCCUUUAUCAGCGCGCCGAGAGUGAAGACAGCGAUGCCGAGGGUGGCUUGGGCAACGUAAACAAAAUGGUAAUGCGACCACCUGGCCACAGCGGUAAAGCUAAGAAGGGCCACAUUUGCUUCGACGCGACCUUUGAAACCGGCAAUCUCGGGAGAGUGGACUUGAUUUCCGAAUUUGAGUAUGAUCUCUUCAUUAGACCUGACACUUGUGGGCCUAGAUUACGCAUGUGGUUUAACUUCACCGUGGACAAUGUAAAGGCAGAUCAACGGGUAAUCUUCAACAUCGUAAACAUCUCUAAAAGCGCCAAUCUCUUCCGACAGGGAAUGACGCCAUUAGUGAAGAGCAGCUCCAGACCGAAGUGGCAGAGAAUACCGCGACAACAGGUGUUCUAUUACAGAUCUGCGCAGCAUCAGAAUCACUACGUGCUGAGUUUUGCUUUCGCAUUCGAUCGCGAAGACGAUGUUUAUCAAUUCUCUCUGACAUACCCGUAUUCAUACACGCGUUACAUGGUGCAUCUCGAUAACUUAUGCAGCAGACUAUUAUACACGAAGAGAGAGACGCUAGCCGAGUCGAUCCAAAAGAGGAAUGUAGAGCUCGUGACUAUAACCUCCGACCUCGAAGACGCAGAACGACCUAGAAAAGUAGUCGUCGUCCUCGCUAGAGUUCACCCUGGCGAGUCGCCGUCCUCCUUCGUGUGUCAGGGUUUGAUGGACUUCUUGGUCAGCGCGCAUCCUAUCGCUCAAGUUCUAAGAGAGUACGUGAUCUUUAAGAUAGUGCCGAUGCUAAACCCCGACGGUGUCUUUCUCGGAAAUUACAGGUCCACCGUGAUGGGAUUGGAUUUGAACCGAUCUUGGAAUUGCAUUUCCGAAUGGAUUCACCCUACCCUGCUUGCGACUAGAGCAAUGUUGAAGUCACUCGAUAAGAACUCGCAUACCCCAUUGGAUUGCGUACUAGAUUUACACGCUCACACUAAUGCCACGGGUGUCUUCGUUUACGGAAACACGUAUGAAGACGUCUAUAGGUACGAGAGGCACAUUGUCCUGCCGAAAUUGCUAGCUCAACACGCGGAGGACUAUGAACUGGGCAACACCAUGUACAAUCAAGACCAGAACAAAGCUGGAACUGCUCGCCGCUAUUUGUGCUCUAUUCUAAAGGAACAUGUCAAUUGCUACAGCAUCGAAAUUUCCAUGUACGGUUACAGUAAAAAGGGAAUACCGGGUAUAAUGCCAUACACGGAAGAAGGAUAUUAUAGAUUAGGUCGUAAUCUAGCACGCGUGUUCCUAGAAUAUUAUAAGCUCACUGGGCUCAUCCCAUCAGGACUUCCUGAUCAGCCAUCAAGCAAACGAGCGCGCCAAUCCCGGCAAAGACAACGUUUUCCAAGGGAGCCCAGACCAAGAACAGUCCGAACUCCAGCGACCUUGCAUCUCGCCAGCAUCUAUGAAUAUUUUCGGGAGGAACCUGAGCCGCUCCCGAGCUCUCGUUACCGAUCGAUGAGCGGUACGCGGAUGGGACAGCAGCCCGGAACCGGAAUCGCGAGUGAAACUGGAACGGGUGUCGGCGGCGGGUGUAAGAGCUCGAGCUACAGGUUCCGGAGCCCUGGGGCACCUCUCGACAGGAUGCAGACCCUGACGGAGCGACCCGCCGCUGAGCCGCGGCUCACCAUUAUCGAUUUCAAUCAGCUGACGCGGGGCGGUUUGGAGCUCGCGGCCAACAAGAACAGACCGGCGGCGAUCCCACGCAAGAGGAUCGUCAAGUCGCGUAGAUAACGAUCUCACCUCGAUUAACGGGAGAUCCUAUAACAUCUCCAAGGACGCGAAAAUCAAAUGCCGCGGUGGUCGAUUCGCGCUACUUCUGCCGGACGAAAAUAGAAGACUUCUCGACGAGAAGAGGUACGCGGAGAAAAAUGCAGUCCGGAUGUUGCCUUUUACUUAAACGCUGAUAACCAAUGUCAUUAAGAAACUUUCGCUUUUCUUCUCCGCAUAAUUUUAAAUUUAGUUCAAUGUGAAUGCUAAUACUGCACAUUUUAUCCUUCGUGUUAUACGAUACUCAUGCUUUUACUUAAAUAUAAAUUUUGAGUUUCCUAUUAACAUACUAUCGUCUCUUUUCUCGCGAGAAAAGAUGAAUUUCACAUUGCAUGUUUCCAGUUCCUAAUAUAUACUUAAUUGUUACAUUUUUUAUGGUUGUUUAUAACAUCGUUGUUAUAAUAUAUGUUGUAUAAUACUAUUUCUACUAAAAAAAAGUUAAUAUAUUAAUAGCAACAAAAUAUAUAUACAAAUAUUAUUAUAUAUAAUAUACAAUAAAUACUAUUAAAUAUCAAAUAAAACAUAUAGAGCAUGCUUUUACAUUAUUAAUACCGUUUCCGAAUUGCAUCUAGAGAUUUAAACGUAAAUUACAUUUCUUAAAAUAUAUAUUGUUAUGUUCUAAAAUUAUAAAAAUUAUAUUGGAUAUUACAUUAUAUUAAAAGUAUGAAAACUUAAUGUAAUUUCAUAUCGGACAAUGUGUUCUAUUAAAAAAAAAAAAAAAAA
rnacentral:misc_RNA from 1 species